rnacentral:rRNA from 1 species
AUGAGAGAUGUCGCUGAGUCAUGUCGUUCAUCAUUUAGAGGCCAUAUUUACAAUAUAAGGCCUCUUAAUAUGAUGCACGCACAACAGUUAUUUCACGGAAGGUUGUUCAACUCUAAAGAAGAUUGCCCUGCCCACCUUAAAGUAGUUAUGGAUAAAAUAUUGAAAAAAUGUGAUGGUUUACCUUUGGCAAUCAUUGCAAUUUCUGGUCUAUUAUCUAACACGGAAACAACGGUGCUUCUUUGGAAUCAAGUGGAAAUUUCGAUUGGCCGUGCACUUGAAAGGAAUUCUAGUGUGGAAAGAAUGAUGAACAUAUUAUCACUCAGUUACUUUGAUCUCCCUCCUCAUCUAAAAACCUGUCUUUUAUAUCUGAGUAUAUUUCCAGAGGAUUCUAUUAUUGAGAAGAAAGUUGUCAUAAGGAGAUGGAUUGUUGAAGGAUUCAUUCGGAAGGAAGGCAGGUACAUGGUAUAUGAAUUAGGAGAAAGAUGUUUCAAUGAGCUCAUCAAAAGGAGUUUGAUCCAACCCGUGGAGUCCGAUAGAUAUGAUAGGACGAUGAGAUUUCGAGUUCAUGACACAAUUCUUGAUUUCAUCAUAUCCAAGUCCGUCGAAGAGAACUUUGUCACUUUUGUCGGUCUUCCCGGAAUAGCUGCUGGGACGCAGAGGAAAGUUCGUCGUCUGUCUCUCCAAGUCGGCAACCAAAGGAAAUUGUUACUACCAAAGGAUCUAAUAUUGUCGCAUGUCCGAUCUUUAAAUGUGUUUGCGGAUUCCAUGGAAAUCCCUUCUCUAGAUGAGUUCAUGCAUUUGCGUGUUCUAGACUUUGGUGGAUGUUGUCAAUUGGAAAACCAUCAUCUAGUAAAUAUAGGGAGGUUGUUUCAUUUAAAGUACUUGAACCUCAGGCACCUUGGGGUAAGUGAGCUUCCAGAACAAAUCAAGCAUCUACAAUACCUUGACAUGUUGGACCUAAGAGACACCAAUGUACGUGAAUUGCCGAGAGCAAUUGUCAAUCUCAGUAGCUUGGUCUAUCUACUUGUUGACAAUGGUGUGACAUUUCCUGGUGGAGUUUUGAAAAUGCAAGCAUUGGAGAUAUUGAAACAGGUCGAAGCCCUCGGUCAGUCAUUGAACUUUCUCCAAGAACUUGGGCAGCUGAAGAAUCUGAGGAAGAUAUACCUUGAUCUGUUUGAUGUUCCAGUAGUUGGGGUUACCAAGGAGUGCAGCAAGAGUUUCAUUGCAUACCAAUCUCUCUGCAACCUCGGCACGCAGAACCUUCGUUCUGUAACUAUCUGGCAUGGCGGUGGCUUCUUACUGGAACCAUGGUACCCUGCUCUGCGUAGCCUCGAGAAGCUAAUUACCUGGCGUUCCGCAGUUCCUCAUGUUCCAGAGUGGGUGGGUUCCCUCGUCAACCUGCAGAAGUUACGCCUUGAAGUGGAGAGUCUUGGGCAACCAGAUCUGUGUAUACUUGCAACCUUGCCUGCUCUUCUCACUCUGGACCUCGAAAAAACAACAAAAUCAUCAGAAGGCAAGCUCAACGUCAGUGGAGGAGAUGGGUUCCGAUUCCUGAGGAACUUACGUAUAAUAUGA